UAUAACAUGAUAUUACAACAUUGUACCAAAUGAAAGUUAACAUCAAAGGGAGAACAUGAAGCCGUGCCUAAAGCAAGCGAGCCAUGGUAAUUCUUUUAUGGAAGUUCACUUGGUAAUAUUGUUGAAGCACUCUUGUAUGUAGCUCCUAGUGCCAGCCCCCACCUCCACCAUAAUAUUCAGCUCCAGGAUAUCCACCACCGUAACCACCACCGCCGCCACCGUAUCCACCGCCAUAUCCACCACCACCCCCAUAUCUGCCGCCUCCGCCGCCUCCGCCGCCACCGUAUCCACCACCAAAGUCAGGGUAACCAUACCCACCGCCAUACCAACCGCGCCCAGGUACAUAUCCACCG
rnacentral:lncRNA from 1 species